CCUUAGUUGCCAUCAUUAAGUUGGGCACUUUAAAGAGACUGCCGGUGUCAAACCGGAGGAAGUGGGGGUGACGUCAAGUCCUCAUGGCCUUUGUGACCAGGGCUACACACGUACUACAAUGGCCGGUACAAAGGGCAGCCACUUAGCGAUAAGGAGCCAAUCCCGUAAAGCCGGUCUCAGUCCGGAUUGGAGUCUGCAACUCGACUCCAUGAAGUUGGAAUCGCUAGUAAUCGCAGAUCAGCACGCUGCGGUGAAUACGUUCCCGGGCCUU
rnacentral:rRNA from 1 species